rnacentral:tRNA from 1 species
UUGUCGUUAGCUCAGUUGGUAGAGCAGUUGACUUUUAAUCAAUUGGUCGCAGGUUCGAUCCUGCAUGACCCACCA